ensembl:antisense C78334 expressed sequence C78334
NNNNNNNNNNNNNNNNNNNNNUUUCACACCGACUCCCAUGAGAAAGGUUCACCAAGGCACUUGUUGGCAGUCGGUAUCCCCUACCAGUUAGUCUAGCUGGUGUCUGGCAGUAUCUUUUUUCCUGCACAUAUGUCCUGUGGUGAAACGUCUGCUUGACGAUUGUGUAUAUUUAAAAAGAACAGCUGAGGGAUGACGACAAGCCUGAUGACCCUAAUGGAAUCCAUGGAACCCCAGAUGAUAAAAGAUGCACACAACACACAAAUCUACGUUCUCCUUCACAAUCGGAACGCAGCUGAAGACAUCCAGUGCUGAGGUCUUACCCCCUUUAAUUCCAAUGACGGUGCCUCGAAGGCCGACUGGCACGGAGAAGCUCUCUCUCACGUUCACAACGCGAUCAAAGAGCCGGAACUCGGCAUCCCGAUCAGGAAUGACUCCAUGCUGCUGCUCUAAGGGCUGAACAGAAGAGAGCCGUGUACUCUAAGGAAUGCUUGACACCUUUCACAUGUUGAUGUCUGUGAGUUCUCUGUUUUCAGAGCGGGGUCUUACUAUGUAGCCCUG